ensembl:lncRNA
AAAGAGCAGCGAUGUUCACUGCGACUGAGCAGCGUUUGCUUCUCGAGACUUACAAAGAAUUUAAACAUAUGAUUACCAAAAAAGGGAAUACCGCAGCUAUUAAUAAAACAAGAGAGAAAGGCUGGCAGGAAAUUGCUGAUCGUCACAAUGUAAGCAAUUUAAGUGAAGAAAAAAGAACAUGGCAGCAGGUGAAAAUAAAAUAUAAAAAUAUUGUUCAGAAUGGUAAGUAUAGUCUAUGUAAGUACUUAAGCAUAACCAGCUUGAUGUUACAACUGUCCAGUCUCAUGAUGUUUAUUAAUUGCAGCUGCCAAAAAGAAGAGUGAGGUUGCUGGCACUGGGGGAGGGCCACCGACAGCCAACUUUGCUCCUGCAGAGGAGCUGGCAUUAGAAAUGAACAAAGGGAGGCCUGUCAUUGAGGGAAUAGGGGGGGGACAGUAUCUGAAUCCAUUCCACCUAUGAUGCCAAAUUCUGUGUGCUUGCUGGAUCCACCAGACAUCAUGCUGAACCCUGUUGAAGGCCCAUAUACAGUUGAGGAGGAUGAGGAGACUGUGUCAGUAUGUUCAAGGAGGCCUGAGCAGGAUGCUGACACCCUUCUAGAGCCCUCUCAGUCUGGGACCACAUGUGACCAAAACCCAGAGAACAUAAAGGGAGUCUACAAACGUUAUCUCCGGAAACAAAUGGAAGCCAUAGAUACUGACAUGCAAUAUAAAAAAAGUCAAGAUAAGGAAGUUGGAGCUGGAAAUCCAACAGCUUGACAAAAAUGCAAGUAGAACUGCCAUAUUUAAAACUAUGGCACAUGACCAUUUUGUUUUUUGACAACAUUUAAUUGUAUGUUUUCACCUUCAACAGGCAGCUUCAACCUGAA